UCAUAAUGCAUCUUAUUUAUAGAUGGAAACAAGAGAGAAGCCUUGCUUUUGGUAAAGUAUGAAUUUUGGCUAAGUGUGUGGCUUCCUUAUCGCCUCAACAAGCUCAUUGACAUUACAAGAAUGCUUGCUGAAAAUUAUUUUAUCUUUACUAUAUAUAUGACAAAAUGUAUUCUAAAAUUUCAAAAUCACUCUUAUUAAUUAUCACGCUGUGGUUAGCCCCG
rnacentral:misc_RNA from 1 species